UGCCAGCCGCCGCGGUAAUACGGAGGGUGCGAGCGUUAAUCGGAAUUACUGGGCGUAAAGGGCGCGUAGGCGGUCGCGCAAGUCGGGUGUGAAAGCCCCGGGCUCAACCUGGGAAUUGCAUUCGAUACUGCGUAACUAGAGUCUGGUAGAGGGAAGCGGAAUUCCGCAUGUAGCGGUGAAAUGCGUAGAUAUGCGGAGGAACACCAGUGGCGAAGGCGGCUUCCUGGACCAAGACUGACGCUGAGGCGCGAAAGCGUGGGGAGCAAACAGGAUUAGAUACCCUGGUAGUCCACGCCCUAAACGAUGAGGACUAGACGUUGGGGGGAUAAAACCCCUUAGUGUCGCAGCUAACGCGUGAAGUCCUCCGCCUGGGGAGUACGGCCGCAAGGUUGAAACUCAAAUGAAUUGACGG
rnacentral:rRNA from 1 species